AAUGCACCCAAUCUUAUCCGAUCUUGGAAAGCUAAG
rnacentral:rRNA from 1 species